rnacentral:rRNA from 1 species
ACGGAAGGCAGCAGUGGGGAAUAUUGCACAAUGGGGGAAACCCUGAUGCAGCAACGCCGCGUGAGUGAAGAAGUAUUUCGGUAUGUAAAGCUCUAUCAGCAGGGAAGAUAAUGACGGUACCUGACUAAGAAGCCCCGGCUAACUACGUGCCAGCAGCCGCGGUAAUACGUAGGGGGCAAGCGUUAUCCGGAUUCACUGGGUGUAAAGGGAGCGUAGACGGCAACGCAAGUCUGAUGUGAAAACCCGCGGCUCAACCGCGGGAUUGCAUUGGAAACUGUGUAGCUUGAGUACUGGAGGGGCAGGCGGAAUUCCUGGUGUAGCGGUGGAAUGCGUAGAUAUCAGGAGGAACACCGGUGGCGAAGGCGGCCUGCUGGACAGUAACUGACGUUGAGGCUCGAAAGCGUGGGGAGCAAACAGGAUUAGAUACCCUGGUA